UUGGGGAAUUUGACAAUGGGCGAAAGCCUGAUCCAGCAAUGCCGCGUGUGUGAAGAAGGCCUUCGGGUUGUAAAGCACUUUUGUCCGGAAAGAAAUCCUUGGCUCUAAUACAGUCGGGGGAUGACGGUACCGGAAGAAUAAGCACCGGCUAACUACGUGCCAGCAGCCGCGGUAAUACGUAGGGUGCAAGCGUUAAUCGGAAUUACUGGGCGUAAAGCGUGCGCAGGCGGUUUGCUAAGACCGAUGUGAAAUCCCCGGGCUCAACCUGGGAACUGCAUUGGUGACUGGCAGGCUAGAGUAUGGCAGAGGGGGGUAAAUUCCACGUGUAGCAGUGAAAUGCGUAGAGAUGUGGAGGAAUA
rnacentral:rRNA from 1 species